GGGAUGUGUUAGCAGGCUCCCUGCUGCCAGUGCUGAUCGUCACAUUUUCAAAACAAAAGACAUUGAUGAGGAGAUCAAACGUGAGCAUAAGGAGAACAUGGGAAGAGGUUAAAUUGAACUACAAGAAUUUACUUCAAGCUGAAAAACCGAAGACUAAAAGAAAUACAUCCUGGAACUCCUCUACGAAUCUGCUUGACACUACAGUAGUUCUACGAAGCACUCCUCUUACGGGUUCCAAACAACCGACUCCCAUCAAUGACCUCACUUCCUGUCCACUCCUGAUGUUCUCACUUUCGCCUAUGUCUGUGUCAUCAUC